UACGUAGGGUGCAAGCGUUGUCCGGAAUUAUUGGGCGUAAAGAGCUCGUAGGCGGUCUGUCACGUCGGACGUGAAAACUCACAACUCAAUUGUGGGCGUGCGGGCGAUACGGGCAGACUGGAGUACUGCAGGGGAGACUGGAAUUCCUGGUGUAGCGGUGGAAUGCGCAGAUAUCAGGAGGAACACCGGUGGCGAAGGCGGGUCUCUGGGCAGUAACUGACGCUGAGGAGCGAAAGCGUGGGGAGCGAAUGGG
rnacentral:rRNA from 1 species